GACGAACGCUGGCGGCGUGCUUAACACAUGCAAGUCGAACGGAAGGGCCCUGCUUUUGUGGGGUGCUCGAGUGGCGAACGGGUGAGUAACACGUGAGUAACCUGCCCUUGACUUUGGGAUAACUUCAGGAAACUGGGGCUAAUACCGGAUAGGAGCUCCUGCUGCAUGGUGGGGGUUGGAAAGUUCGGCGGUUGGGGAUGGACUCGCGGCUUAUCAGCUUGUUGGUGGGGUAGUGGCUUACCAAGGCUUUGACGGGUAGCCGGCCUGAGAGGGUGACCGGCCACAUUGGGACUGAGAUACGGCCCAGACUCCUACGGGAGGCAGCAGUGGGGAAUAUUGCACAAUGGGCGGAAGCCUGAUGCAGCAACGCCGCGUGCGGGAUGACGGCCUUCGGGUUGUAAACCGCUUUCGCCUGUGACGAAGCGUGAGUGACGGUAAUGGGUAAAGAAGCACCGGCUAACUACGUG
rnacentral:rRNA from 1 species